AGUAGUUUCUUUUGUAUUUAAUUGUUUUUUUCUAUUAUUCAUUCAUUUUUUUUCUCAUUGUAGAUUAAAGCUCGUCAGACUAUGUGCCAGAAAAUGUACAAACAAACUUCGUGAUGAACUUUACUGAUGCAUCAAAUCUAUUAAAUCACAGAAUAUGAAAACAAAUCUUUUAAAUUUGGGACUUUUAAAAUUAGAUUGAUUAAAGCUCGUCAGACUAUGUGCCAGAAAAUGUACAAACAAACUUCGUGAUGAACUUUACUGAUGCAUCAAAUCUAUUAAAUCACAGUAAGUUUUUCACAGAACAAACACAACAUAUUUUACACAAUAUACAUACAUUAUUUAUUGAUUUCAUUGGAUAACCACUUACAUUGUUAAUAUUCAGUUUGACUGAUUCGUUUAAUUGAGGAAAUUUAAAUUUCAACAAAACUAUUAUACAUUGGUUAAUAGGGGUUAUAUACCAGCAUGUAUGUAUAUACAAACAUCUGUUGAUGUGGAACUAUGUACACAAUUAUUACAUCAAAAGUCAAGUAGGUUAACAACCAUCAAUGCAUAAAACAUAUUUGGUAAUGGUUUCUACGGUUAUUUUAUGCAGAAUUCUUUCGUGUGAAAAAAAAAAAUUCUUAAAAGGGGCAUGCGUCAAAAUCUGGACUUACCUUGAAAAAAAAUAUAUAAGUAGACCUAUAUUGUAAAUUUCCUUCUGAAAUACGAAUCGCGGCAAAUUACUGCAAUUUUUUAGAAAAAGCAUUUGAAUUCCUUGAUGUACUCAAAAUCCAAAUAGUAGAUCUAUGUAAGACUUUGCUGCAAGUAGGGAAAUUACAUAGACUGACGAGGUGAUGUUUCGGCCCUCUAAUAAACAAAACUUCUGUGCAAAUUCCCAUAUAAAUAGGAUCCUUUAAUGCUCUCGUGACCUCUCGUCAUAUUUUAAAUUCACAGUCAGGGACAUUCCUAGUGGUCCCGCCUCUACAUUGUCGAUCAGUACCCAUAAGCCCUUCCUCUCUAGGCAAGGGGAAUAAAAGUGUCGCUGAAUUCCCCGGUCGCCAAAGUACUAAAUCCAAUGAGGCGAGAGAAAAAAAAAGCUUAAA